rnacentral:rRNA from 1 species
ACUCCUACGGGAGGCAGCAGUGGGGAAUAUUGCACAAUGGGCGCAAGCCUGAUGCAGCCAUGCCGCGUGUGUGAAGAGGCCUUCGGGUUGUAAAGCACUUUCAGUCGUGAGGAAGGUAGUGUAGUUAAUANUGCAUUAUUUGACGUUACGCGACAGAAGAAGCGACCGCUAACUCCGUGCCAGCAGCCGCGGUAAUACGGAGGGUGCGAGCGUUAAUCGGAAUUACUGGGCGUAAAGCGCAUGCAGGUGGCCUGUUAAGUCAGAUGUGAAAGNNCCGGGGGCCUU